rnacentral:misc_RNA from 1 species
GUUCUUGAGCAGUGUUUUUCAGAUCAUUCAAAGGUGAAGGAGGUGAUGACGUAGCAAAUUGAAGGGCUGCAAGAAAAAUCUUCAUUACGGCAGUAGGAUUGACUGGUUGGAGGCGAGCAAGUACCGGUUCCACCUUAGAUCCCAUGCUUGGUAUAGUAUUUAAUAUCUCUUCCUCUUCAGCUUCCUCCCAAGGGACUGCUU